AUCCAGCUGACGGGUCCCCAAAUAGGACGAAAUGCGCGUCAAACUUGAU
rnacentral:hammerhead_ribozyme from 1 species